rnacentral:ncRNA from 1 species
UUAAAGUUUUAUUUUGGUUUAAUGAUUUGCUUUUAGUUUAAUUUACAUGUAAAUUUUUGUGGGUAAUUUUAAAAUUUAAAUAAUAAAAAUUAUUUAUUCGCAGUAAUUAAGAUUAUUUAUUAAAGAAAUUUAGAAUUAGUAAUAUUAAUAAAUAAUGAUUAAAUUUGUGCCAGCAAUCGCGGUUAUACGAAUUUAUUAUUAGUAAAUUUUUUUAGUAAAAGUUAAAUGUGAAUUAUUUUUAUAUAAUUAAAUUUAUUAGGUGAAAUUUUAAAUUUAAAUAAUUAAAUUUAUUUAUAAUUGAAGCUUUAAAAAUUAAAUUAUAAACUAGGAUUAGAUACCCUAUUAUUUUAAUUGAAAUUUAUUACUAAGGUAGUAUUAGUUAAGUUCUUGAAAUCUAAAAAAUUUGGCGGUAUUUUAGUCUAUUCAGAGGAACCUGUUCUGUAAUCGAUAAUCCACGAUGGACCUUACUUAAAUUUGUAUUCAAUUUAUAUACCGUUGUUAUUUAAAUAUUUUAUAAGAAUUAUAAUUUUUAAGAUUUUAAAUUGUUAGAAUAUAUCAAAUCAAGGUGUAGUUUAUGUUUAAGUAGAAAUGGGUUACAAUAAAUUUAUUUAAAUGGAUAUAAAUUUGAAAUAUUUAUUGAAGGUGGAUUUGAUAGUAAAUUUAUAAAGAUUAAUAAUUUGAUUAUAGCUCUAAAAUAUGUACACAUCGCCCGUCACUCUUAUUAUUAAGAUAAGAUAAGUCGUAACAUAGUAGAUGUACUGGAAAGUGUAUCUAGAAUG